GACGAACGCUGGCGGCGUGCUUAACACAUGCAAGUCGAGCGGAGCGGCGAACGGGUGAGUAACGCGUGAGUAAAUGCCCCCCUCCCUGGGAUAACAGUUGGAAACGGGUGCUAAUACCGGAUAGUGGGGGAUGACUCGGGUCCUAUCAGCUUGUUGGUGGGGUGGUGGCCUACCAAGGCGACGACGGGUGGCCGGCCUGAGAGGGCGACCGGCCACAGUGGGCUGAGUUACGGCCCAAAGUCCUACUGGAGGCAGCAGUGGGGGUUAUUGCACGAUGGGGGAAACCCGGGUGCAGCACCGCCGCGUGCGGGAUGACGGCCUUCGGGUUGUAAACCGCUUUCAGCCAUGACGCGGUAGUGGCAGAAGAAGCACCGGCUAACUACGUGCCAGCCGCCGCGGUAAUAC
rnacentral:rRNA from 1 species